CGCAAAUGUGAGAGCUAGGGUUUAACCAAGAAUGGCGAAAGUGACGCUAGAUUCGCUGCCGCUGAAGCGAGUGCUCGCGCUCGAGGAGUCGGGAAUCGAGCUCUAUCCGCCUGAAUCUUCGCAAGACGAGAAGCCGUUGUCGCUACUCCAGAGCUUGGAUUUCGAGCGGCCCGACGAGAAGGAAGCGAAGAAGAGCAAGAGCGGCAAGGAUGGAGCGUCGCAGUGGCCGUGGCAGGGUCUCAUCGAGCAUUUCCAUCAAGCAAGGGAAGAGCUUAUGACGCUACUGGAUUUCAUAGCUCAUGUGGAGAGCAAUGAGGCGCUCACAGUGACCCAUAUGAUGAAACCCAAGCCACUCCCAAACGAAGCUGGUGCUGAUUUAGCGUUGCGAACGGCUUCAAAGUCUCGGAGUUACAAGGAAAUUGCGAGUUAUCUCAAGCGCAAUGCCAAGUCUCUGGAGCGCCAAGUCGAAAGAGAAUCGGUCUUUUAUGGAGCUCUUAUGCGUUUGCAAAGAAACUGGAAGAUAAAACGCCAGCGUGGUGUCUCUGCGGGUCCUGGAGGAAAAGCUGGUUUUCUCAUCGACUUGUCGUUUCCUCUAUCUGUGGACCCGAGCUUGAUAUCUUCUUCGCGUACUGCUGCGUGGACAUUGAUCAAAGUGAACCAGGAUGCAAAUGGGCUGCUCUCCGUGCAAAUCCCCGCUGGAAAAACUAUCACAACCUUACAGGUUUAUCUCAGUCGCGAGUUAGAAGAAUACACGAGCAAACAGCAGUUAGAGCAACCACCUCGGAGACGAGACAAUCGAGACCCUGACGAGGGAACAAGCUCAGCAAACCAUCGACUCCGAAAUAUCCAGCUAUCAAUAUUUGACGAGCUGAUAUUUGAAUGCCUGUGUCGGGAUGUUCUCCAACCUUCGUCGGCCACGAGCCUGCAUGAGAUUGGCGAAUCGUCUCUAGAUAUUGGCGCGGGUCCUUCGAUAGCGUCAUUCUUCAGGCUUGUAGAGGACGACGCUGCAAAAGAUGCCACCUUGAAAGAAGUCGACGUCAAGAGGCUGCCUUUGGCAGGCAGCCUCAGAAUUUAUUUGCAGCAGGGAUUCUACUCAAUGUUGCUAGCAAGCAUCGUACAAAGAAGCGCACCUGGGCCUAGAGCUGGGACUGGAAAGGAGGAGCCAGCGAACCUGCUGAAGAACUUUUCCGUCCUUGCUCGUCACAGAAGCGCCGGCGACAAGAUUGUUUCGCUUCUGGACACGCUGGUUCUGCAAGUUCCACAGCUGUGGUUUCGAUCUCAUCCAACAUGGCGGCCUUUCGUCUCGGCCUGGGAUGUUUACUUCGACAUCCCGGAAGCCAUCAUGAAUGGAGGUCAAAUGAAACAUCUGGAAUGGAACGUGUUGGUUCGUGAAACCAGCGCUACAUUCCAGUGCACGCUAGUUCUUCGCCAGGAGAUUCUUUCGAUAGAGGGGCUUGAUGGCUGCAUGCCGUUGGGCGCGUCCGGACAAGAGUCAACUGGGAUGAAAAGCUGCGUGUGCAGCGUCUCAGAGCUUCCAUUUUUCCUGCUCACACAGAUCGCGGGGAAAGUCAUCGGGUGGCUUGAAGAGGAGGCCGUGCUGCUGGGGCCGAGAGUGAAAAGAGAUUUCCUGAGCAUCGUCUUCAACAUACAAAACAACGGGCUGGUAUCGCUUGUGGCCGCUCCAUCUGGUUACUGCAUCAACUGGUGGUUGAGAUUCUACUCUUUCGGGUCAGACGAUACGGCUGCUGCUUCCGGGGCCAGUGCUCCAGCUAGUGAGAGGUUCCUGGGACCUCUGCCUCUGGAGACUCUGCGAGCAGUGGUGAUGGAUUUGGCCAUAAAUCUCUAGGCACUGGUCCUGGCCUUGUCUUCGGCGAGGGAGGAUGCAAAACUUGUCAAGGGGAGAGGGAACUUAACUUCGACAGUGAUCUCCUCCAGGUACACAGAGUUAUUUUUGUUUCUCCUGCAAAGCUCAAGAUCCAUUGCUCCACGCAGCUCGCAGUGAGCAGGAUCCCCUCCCAGUUCUUUUAAGACGAAGGAGAAAGGAGUUGAGGUAUGGAACAAAGCUGGUUUUCUGAGAAACAGUGACUGUCAUUGUUGUUUAGGGGACACCGACAUGGCGAUUCUCCCUUGGAGCGUACGUUUCAGUAACUUGGAUAAAUCGGACAGAUGCCCGUUGGACUCCUGCGUACGAGCAAAAUGCCGUUGGUGGGUCAGGAAAGGAAUGACAUUACCCGACACGGAGUCCCAGAGGGGGAGGAAAGGAGAACAAAAGUUGUGGGAGGGGAAGCAAAAAUGCAAAUGCCGCGACUGGGCAUUUUGGGCCGAGGAGGAGAAGGAACAGGAAACAGGGGGACAUCAACAUCAGCAGCAGUAGCAAGCACAACGCAACUGAUUUCAAUUGAAGCUCCCAAAACAAACGAGAGAGAGAGGAUGGAGGAGGUUAGCUUUCUGUCCCAGUUGGAACAUUUAAAAGGUGGAGUCAGAAGUUUUGAGGUGA